rnacentral:ncRNA from 1 species
GUCUAGUUCUGUCAUUCAAGGAAGUUGGUGACCUGAUGACAGGGGAGCCGGCGACUGAAGCCCCGGUGAACGGCGGCCGUAACUAUAACGGUCUUCCUCGUCGGGUAAGUUCCGACCCGCACGAAA